UUCUGAGAAAGACAAGGUUUCCCCUUGUCCAAGGCACCAGCGACUAGUAUUCACCUCAGACAAUUCUGGAACAUGACCGAAUAAUUUGGCUGGGGGAUUUAAAUUAUCGGGUAGCCCUUUCUUAUCGUGCAGCGAAAGCUCUUGUUGAGAUGCAUAACCGGAAGGACUUGUUAGAGAAUGACCAACUGCGAAUAGAGCAGAGGCAAGGUCGAGUAUUCGAAGGAUGGAACAAAUGGAAAAUAUACUUCCCUCCCACAUACAAGUAUUCAAACAACUCAGGCAGGUAUGCAGGAGAUGGAAGACAUUCAAAACAAAAGAGAACUCCA